rnacentral:rRNA from 1 species
GACGAACGCUGGCGGCGUGCUUAACACAUGCAAGUCGAACGGAAAGGCCCUGCUUUUGUGGGCUGCGCGGGUUGCGGACGGGUGAGUAACACGUGAGUAAGCUGCCCUUGACUGUGGGAUAACUUCAGGCAACUGGGGCUAAUACCGGAUAGGAUCUCCUGCUGCAUGGUGGGGGUGGGAAAGUUUCGGCGGUUGGGGAUGGACUAGCGGCUUAUUAGCUUGUUGGGUGGGUAGUGGCUUACCAAGGCUUUGAAGGGUAGCCGGCCUGAGAGGGGGACAGGCCAAGUCGCGACUGAGCUACGGCACAGACCACUACGGGACGCAGCAGUGGAGAAGAUUACACAAUGGGAUGAAGCAUGAUGUAGCAAAGCAGCGUGCGGGAUGACGGGCUUCGCGUUGUAAACUGCUUUCGCCUGUGACGAAGCGUGAGUGACGGUAAUGGGUAAAGAAGCACCGGCUAACUACGUG